GGGCCCGUAGCUCAGUCGGUAGAGCGUCGGUCUGAUAAGCCGAAGGUCUGGAGUUCGAAACUCCACGGGCCCA
rnacentral:tRNA from 1 species